rnacentral:rRNA from 1 species
AGGACGAACGCUGGCGGCGUGCUUAACACAUGCAAGUCGAGCGGAAAGGCCCUUCGGGGUACUCGAGUGGCGAACGGGUGAGUAACACGUGGGUGAUCUGCCCUGCACUUUGGGAUAAGCCUGGGAAACUGGGUCUAAUACCGAAUAGGACCACGGGAUGCAUGUCCUGUGGUGGAAAGCUUUUGCGGUGUGGGAUGGGCCCGCGGCCUAUCAGCUUGUUGGUGGGUGAUGGCCUACCAAGGCGACGACGGGUA